GUCCCAUCUGGGAUUCAAACCCACAUCCUCAGAGUCAGCCACCUAACACCGCUCAGCCACCGCGACAGAUGUCAGCUGGAAAACAGAAUGAGAAACUGGCUUUGAGCAUUGAGUCUGACAACUACACAGACAGUGAUUGAAUGACAUACUGUUUACUCAUGAAAUUUUAUGAAGUUCCAUAAAAUAAAAUUAUCUUAUCAGACUCAGAAUAAUUUUGUUACAAUGUUCAAUAUCUUCAGUACCAAAAUCCAAGCAUCGAAUAUAAUUUAAAGUGAGCAUCAACUGCAACCUUUUUGCAACGUGUGGUAAAGCCAGGUUAUUACCAAAGGUUGCACUGGGUGCAAGUAGGUUAUUACCUAGGGUUACACUGGGUGCAGGUAGGUUAUUACCUAGGGAUGCACUGGGUGCAGGUAGGUUAUUACCUAGGGAUGCACUGGUGCAAGUAGGUUAUUACCUAAGGUUGCACUUGGUGCAAGUAGGUUAUUACCUAAGGUUGCACUUGGUGCAGGUAGGUUAUUACCUAGGGUUACACUGGGUGCAGGUAGGUUAUUACCUAGGGAUGCACUGGGUGCAGGUAGGUUAUUACCUAGGGAUGCACUGGUGCAAGUAGGUUAUUACCUAAGGUUGCACUUGGUGCAAUUAGGUUAUUACCUAAGGUUACUGGGUACAAGUAGGUUAUUACCAAUGUUGCACUGGGUGUAAGUAGGUUAUUACCUAGGGUUGCACUGGAUGCAAGUAGGUUAUUACCUAAGGUUGCACUGGAUGCAAGUAGGUUAUUACCAAUGUUGCACUGGGUGUAAGUAGGUUAUUACCUAGGGUUGCACUGGGUGCAAGUAGGUUAUUACCUAAGGUUGCACUAGAUGCAAGUAGGUUUCAUUUCCUUAAAUCAAGCCCUACAUUAAUUACAUAUGCAUUUCUUAUUGAUGCAUGUUUCAGGGAUGUUUUACUGAGACCCACACUGAGACAGCAUAAUACUUGUUACUCUGUAGUAGGAGAUGUUAACAACUUGUUAUCAGUUCACGGAUAACAGAUGAGUUCAUGCCUUGUCUCUGGGGUAAUUUAGUGGCUGUAUAUCAUCCAGGUUUUUGUGAUUGAUGCAAUGGCACCUGAUGGCGAUGUGUACCUGUAGUUCUACAUAUUUAACUAUGAAUCGUCAUCAAGUAUUACCUGGAACAGUGAUAUUCUGUGCAUUUGUGUCUCAGGAUAUAGGCAGGGUAACAAUGUCUUUCAAAUGCACCGUUAGUUUGGUUAAGAGCUGUAUCAUGACGGUCCUUUCCCCUUUUGUCUCAAGUGAUCCGGACGUAUUUGGUACGACAUUACUGAAAGGCAUUAGUAUGUGUUCUUCCAUCACCUGUAUAAUGGAGUGUCCAUUUUCUACCAAUGACAGGGAUUGAUCUAGUUCUGGUUAGAGAGAUUUUCGACCUCAAGUGACAGUAAAAUUACCGAUUUGGAUUAAAACAUUUCCAAAUACCUCAGAAUCUACAAAGAUAAGAAAAUUAAAAUUAGAAUUACCAAUCUAUUCAGAGAUUGAUAUUUGACCUCUAUUGUAAAGCAAGUGACUCUGAAUUAAAAAUUUCUCUAUACAUCAGAAUCUAUAAAAAUAUAUAAAGUAAAAAGAAUCGAUUCUGAAAUAUGUGAUUUAUUUUCCCAGUUUGCCUGCCAUAAGCACUUAAGUGACAGCUGCAUUAAACCAGAGUGAAGAAGCAGGUGAUGAAAAACACUGUCAGCUUACAUCACAACAUCAGUGUUACCUGCUUGACAAACUUGUACAGCAUAUGUCACAGUUUUGCAGUAUCUUCUUAGAUACAUUGUGUCAAUGGCAGAUAAUGGUAGCUUCUCACUUGGUUCAGUGUAGGUUCAUUUGAAAUUCUUGGUCAAAUUUCAUUUGCUUUCCAUAAAUGGUCAUACACUCUUGUGUAACAUGUACCACAGUUUUGCAGUAUAUCCAUGCAUAUUGUCAAUGGCAGCUUCUCACUAAGUUCAGAGUAGAUUCAUUUCAAAUUCUUGGUUGAAUUUUAUUUGUUUUCCAUUAAUGGAUAGGUUACAACUACAUCU
rnacentral:lncRNA from 1 species